AUGGCCACCCAGGUAAUGGGACGAUCUUCUGGAGAAGAGGGCUGUUCACUGGCAGCAGCAGCAUCGACAUGCCAUUGCCUAAUGACCUGUAUGAUGCACACAACCUCUCCAAAGCUGAGAGGGUCACACCUCAGCUUAUCAUGCUGGCAAAGGAGGCUUUAACUAGGGAAGUAAAUGGCAGCUUCUGAGAUUACCUGGUUGGUGAAGACAGACGGCAGAACAAAUGCAUGUUGGGGAUAACAACUUUUCAGACAGUGAUGGAGAAAACUUGAGGAGUCUCCUCAAAUAAAACGUAAACUCAAUGGACUGGGAAUAUGGAACUGAGAAAUUUGGAAUUCAGUGUUGUUAAACCUCAGCCUGUAUUUGAAGCACCACCUGCCCAGAAGUUUACAGCUCAAAUAAAGAUCUUCCUUCUGAAAUACCAAGAGCAGAGGACAAAUUCAUGAACUUGAAAUCAAACACUUUUGCUGUAAGCCAUGCCAGUAUGAAGCAAACCUGAAGAACAGUUUGUACAGCACAUCAGAGUACACAGUGCCAAGAAAUUUUUUGUUGAAAAAAGUGCAGAGAAGCAAGCAAAAGCCAGGGACUCUGACUCUUCCAUUUCAGAUGUGGGAGAUUUGGCUUGGCAGCUGUACCUCAAAGGGCUGAGCUAUAGGUUCAGCUCAGAACACCAGAAAGUGGGAGAUUUCUCUAACGGUCCCAUUAACUGUGACCACUGUGGCUACAAUACUAAUAGAUAUGAUCACUCUACUGCACAUCUGAAACACCACCCCAGAGCUGGGGAUAAAAGCGAGUCUAUAAGUGCAUCAUCUGUACAUACACAACAGUUAGUGAGUAUCACUGGAGAAACCAUUUUCCAAGGAAAAUACAUGUGUGGGGAAUGUAACUAUUUUUCAAACAGAAAAAACAAUUACGUUCAGCAUCUUAGAACUCAUACAGGAGAACGCCCAUAUAAACAUAAACUUUGUCCUUACUCAAGUUCUCAGAAGACUCCUCUAACUAGACAUAUGUGUACUCAUUCAAAUGAGAAGCCAUUUAGAUGUGACCAGUGCAGUUACGUGGCCUCUAAUCAACAUGAUGUUACUCACCAUCCAAGACAGGUUCACAAUGGACCUAAACUUCUUAACUGCCCACACUGUGGCUACAAAACAGCAGACAGAAGCAACUUCAAAAAAUACGUGAAGCUCCUUGUUAGCCCAAAGCAGUUCAAUUGCCCUGUAUUUGACUACUCAGCUUCCAAGAAGUGUUAUCUACAGUAUCGCUUCAAAUCUAAGCCUAUUUGUCCUAAAAUAACAAUGGAUGUCUCAAAAGUGAAACUAAAGAAAACCAAAAAAUGA